ensembl:snRNA Gm24502 predicted gene, 24502
AUGCUUUCUUCAGCAGCAUAUAUACUACAAUUGGAAUAAUUCAAAGAAAAUUAGCCUGGUCCCUGAGCAAGCAUGGUAUGCAAAUUUAUCAUGUUCCAUAUUUUA